rnacentral:precursor_RNA from 14 species
UGUUUAAAAAAAGUUACCACUGGAGUUGUUCGCUCAGUAAUCAGUGUAGAUCCUGUAUAUCUGUCAGCAGCUACAUCUGGCUACUGGGUCUCUAACUCCAUUGCCUCUGUUCAGGGAUGAUC